UGUGGGUAGCGGUGAAAUUCCAAUCGAGCCCGGAGAUAGCUGGUUCUCCCCGAAAUAGCUUUAGGGCUAGCCUCAAGGUGAGAGAUACGGAGGUAGAGCACUGAAUGUCCUAGGGGGUAUUGCACCUACCGAAGACUAUCAAACUCCGAAUGCCGUCAUCUUAUACUUGGGAGUCAGACUGUGGGUGAUAAGAUUCAUAGUCGAAAGGGCAACAGCCCAGAUCGUCAGCUAAGGUCCCUAAAUGUAAGUUAAGUGGUAAAGGAUGUGGGAUUGCACAGACAACCAGGAUGUUGGCUUAGAAGCAGCCACUCAUUCAAAGAGUGCGUAAUAGCUCACUGGUCGAGUGAUCCUGCGCCGAAGAUUUCCGGGGCUAAAACUUACUACCGAAGCUACGGCAUCAGUAAUGAUGGGUAGGGGAGCUUCCCAUACGGGUUGAAGCAUGACCGUAAGGACAUGUGGACAGUAUGGGAGUGAGAAUGUUGGCAUGAGUAGCGAGAUGUGGGUGAGAAUCCCACAGGCCGUAAACCCAAGGUUUCCAGGGGAAGGUUCGUCCGCCCUGGGUUAGUCGGGACCUAAGCUGAGGCCGAAAGGCGUAGGUGAUGGACAACAGGUUGAUAUUCCUGUACUACCGAUAACCGUUUGAGAGAAGGGAUGACACAGUAGGAUAAGCUAAGCACACUGUUGGUUAUGUGUGCCCAAGCAUUGAGGCAGUCAAAGUAGGCAAAUCCGCUUUGAUAAUGCUGGGAUGUGAUGGGGAGCGAAAUUUAGUAGCGAAGUAGCUGAUUUCACACUGUCAAGAAAAGUCUCUAUCGAGGUUAAAGGUACCCGUACCGCAAACCGACACAGGUGGGUGAGGAGAGUAUCCUAAGGCCAGCGAGAGAACUGUUGUUAAGGAACUCGGCAAAAUGACCCCGUAACUUAGGGAUAAGGGGUGCCACCAUCAGGUGGCCGCAGAGAAUAGGCCCAAGCGACUGUUUACCAAAAACAUAGGUUUCUGCUAAGUCGCAAGACGAUGUAUAGGAGCUGACGCCUGCCCGGUGCUGGAAGGUUAAGGGGAUCUGUUAGAGCAAUCGAAGCAGUGAACUUAAGCCCCAGUAAACGGCGGCCGUAACUAUAACGGUCCUAAGGUAGCGAAAUUCCUUGUCGGGUAAGUUCCGACCCGCACGAAAGGCGUAACGAUUUGGGCACUGUCUCAACAACAGACUCGGUGAAAUUGUAAUUCCGGUGAAGAUGCCGGAUACCUGCGACAGGACGGAAAGACCCCAUGGAGCUUUACUGUAGCUUGACAUUGGGUCUUGGUACUACAUGUACAGGAUAGGUGGGAGGCUUUGAAACCAGGACGCCAGUUUUGGCGGAGCCAUCCUUGGGAUACCACCCUUGUAGUACUGGGACUCUAACCAUAGGCCAUGAAUCUGGUCUUGGGACACUGUCAGGUGGGCAGUUUGACUGGGGCGGUCGCCUCCCAAAAGGUAACGGAGGCGCUCAAAGGUUCUCUCAGUACGGUCGGAAAUCGUACGUAGAGUGUAAAGGCAAAAGAGAGCUUGAUUGCAAGACAUACAGGUCGAGCAAGGAUGAAAAUCGGACUUAGUGAUCCGGUGGUUCUGCGUGGAAGGGCCAUCGCUCAACGGAUAAAAGCUACCCUGGGGAUAACAGGCUUAUCUCCCCCAAGAGUCCACAUCGACGGGGAGGUUUGGCACCUCGAUGUCGGCUCAUCACAUCCUGGGGCUGUAGUAGGUCCCAAGGGUUGGGCUGUUCGCCCAUUAAAGUGGUACGCGAGCUGGGUUCAGAACGUCGUG
rnacentral:rRNA from 1 species